rnacentral:rRNA from 1 species
GAUGAACGCUGGCGGCGUGCUUAACACAUGCAAGUCGAACGAAGCACCUUGAUUUGAUUCUUCGGAUGAAGAUCUUGGUGACUGAGUGGCGGACGGGUGAGUAACGCGUGGGUAACCUGCCUCAUGCAGGGGGAUAACAGUUAGAAAUGACUGCUAAUACCGCAUAAGACCACAGCACCGCAUGGUGCAGGGGUAAAAACUCCGGUGGUAUGAGAUGGACCCGCGUCUGAUUAGGUAGUUGGUGGGGUAACGGCCUACCAAGCCGACGAUCAGUAGCCGACCUGAGAGGGUGACCGGCCACAUUGGGACUGAGACACGGCCCAAACUCCUACGGGAGGCAGCAGUGGGGAAUAUUGCACAAUGGGGGAAACCCUGAUGCAGCGACGCCGCGUGAGCGAUGAAGUAUUUCGGUAUGUAAAGCUCUAUCAGCAGGGAAGAAAAUGACGGUACCUGACUAAGAAGCACCGGCUAAAUACGUG